rfam:Corchorus capsularis cultivar CVL-1 contig13839, whole genome shotgun sequence.
GGGUGCGAUCAUACCAGCACUAAUGCACUGGAACUUAUCAGAACUCCGCAGUUAAGCGUGAUUGGGCGAGAGUAGUACUAGGAUGGGUGACCUCCUGGGAAGUCCUCGUGUUGCACCCC